AACGUAGGAGACGAACGUUAUCCGGAGUUACUGGGCGUAAAGGGCGUGCAGGCGGCCUGUUAAGUUCGUUGUGAAAUCUCUCGGCUAAACCGGGAGGGUGCGAUGAAUACUGGCGGGCUAGAGGGCGGUAGAGGCGUGUGGAAUUCCGGGUGUAGUGGUGAAAUGCGUAGAGAUCCGGAGGAACACCAGUGGCGAAGGCGACACGCUGGGCCGCACCUGACGCUAAGACGCGACAGCAUGGGGAGCGAACGGG
rnacentral:rRNA from 2 species